UAAUAAAACUUCGAAGGAAAUUGACAGGCCACGUGGUAAAACCUACGGAAGACUGAAAUCAUAAAAUCAAUGACGAGAAUGACAACCACCCAGACAAGAAGAUGACAAAAACAAACACAGAAGUGGCAAUGAGACAAGAAAGAACAAAGCUAAAAAGAAAAGAAAAAGAAUACAAAAAAAUGGAAUUGAACUUUCCUGGUUGAGUAAACAGACGAAUUAACUGACCAAUAAGCCUACAACAACAAUAGACAAUUUUGAAAAACUAGUGAUUACUGGAAAAACCGAAGAAGAAAGUUCGCGGGUGCACAGGUUUUGGUUUGACUAGCGGAAACAUUGAGAUAUCUCCAAACAAUGGUUAAACGAAGCAAAAAUAAGCUAUUAGAGAACGUUGCUUAAGAGGAGCCAUCUGUUUCAGUACAGUGCAGAACGAUUUCCCAAUUGUGGCUAUUAACCGAAUUAACAAUUAAGCUGCGGAAGCGAAGGGAUUCGAAUGCGGUCGAUUACUCUGGCGACUGUAUUGGCCACCAGCGUCUCGCAUACAAAUAAACUAUGAAUUAAACAAUAAUGUAGUUUACAUUCA